rnacentral:rRNA from 1 species
GGCUAGGGGAUCUCACCGAUUUACCAAACCUAACCAAACUCCGAAUACCGAAGAGUACUAAUCGGCAGACACACGGCGGGUGCUAACGUCCGUCGUGAAGAGGGCAACAACCCUGACCACCAUCUAAGGUCCCUAAGUUAUGGCUAAGUGGGAAAGGAUGUGAGGAUCCCAAAACAACCAGGAUGUUGGCUUAGAAGCAGCCAUCAUUUAAAGAAAGCGUAACAGCUCACUGGUCUAAAUAAG